AUUGAACGCUGGCGGCAGGCCUAACACAUGCAAGUCGAGCGAGCGGCGGACGGGUGAGUAAUGUAUGGGGACUGCCCGAUAGAGGGGGAUAACUACUGGAAACGGUAGCUAAUACCGCAUACUAUCGGAUAACCCAUAUGGGAUUAGCUAGUAGGUGAGGUAAUGGCUCACUUAGGCGACGAUCCCUAGCUGGUCUUAGAGGAUGAUCAGCCACACUGGUACUGAGAAACGGCCAAGACUCCUACGGAGGCAGCAUUGGGGAAUAUUGCACAAUGGGCGCAAGCCUGAUGCAGCCAUGCCGCGUGUAUGAAGAAGGCCUUCGGGUUGUAAAGUACUUUUGGCAGAGAAGCGGUAUCUGCAGAAUAAGCACCGGCUAACUACGUGCCAGCUGCCGCGGUAAUAC
rnacentral:rRNA from 1 species